CGGGGUGCAGCAGCAGUGGGGAAUAUUGGACAAUGGGGGAAACCCUGAUCCAGCAAUGCCGCGUGUGUGAAGAAGGCCUGCGGGUUGUAAAGCACUUUCGGUUGGGAGGACUGCUUCUAGCACUAAUAUUGUUGGAAGUUGACGUCACCUUCAGAAGAAGCACCGGCUAACUCCGUGCCAGCAGCCGCGGUAAUACGGAGGGUGCAAGCGUUAAUCGGAAUUACUGGGCGUAAAGCGCGCGUAGGCGGCUAGAUCAGUCGGGUGUGAAAGCCCCGGGCUUAACCUGGGAACUGCAUCCGAUACUGUCUAGCUUGAGUACAGGAGAGGAGAGUGGAAUUCCACAUGUAGCGGUGAAAUGCGUAGAUAUGUGGAGGAACACCAAUGGCGAAGGCAGCUCUCUGGCCUGAUACUGACGCUGAGGUGCGAAAGCGUGGGGAUCAAACAGGAUUAGAUACCCCGGUAGUC
rnacentral:rRNA from 1 species